UACAGAGGGGGCAAGCGUUGUUCGGAAUUACUGGGCGUAAAGGGUGCGUAGGCGGCGCGGUAAGUCGGGUGUGAAAUCUCGGAGCUUAACUCCGAAACUGCAUUCGAUACUGCCGUGCUUGAGGACUGGAGAGGAGACUGGAAUUUACGGUGUAGCGGUGAAAUGCGUAGAUAUCGUAAGGAAGACCAGUGGCGAAGGCGGGUCUCUGGACAGUUCCUGACGCUGAGGUGCGAAAGCGUGGGGAGCAAACAGG
rnacentral:rRNA from 1 species